GACGAACGCUGGCGGCGUGCUUAACACAUGCAAGUCGAACGCUGAAGCCCUUUCGGGGGUGGAUGAGUGGCGAACGGGUGAGUAACACGUGGGUAAUCUGCCCUGUACUUCGGGAUAAGCCUUGGAAACGGGGUCUAAUACCGGAUAGGACCUGUCCUCGCAUGGGGGUGGGUGGAAAGUUCCGGCGGUAUGGGAUGAGCCCGCGGCCUAUCAGCUUGUUGGUGGGGUAGUGGCCUACCAAGGCGACGACGGGUAGCCGGCCUGGGAGGGUGACCGGUAACACUGGGACUGAGACACGGCCCAGCAUCCUACGGGAGGCAGCAGUGGGGAAUCUUGCGCAAUGGGCGAAAGCCUGACGCAGCAACGCCGCGUGGGGGAUAACGGCCUUCGGGUUGUAAACCUCUUUCAGCACAGACGAAGCGCAAGUGACGGUAUGUGCAGAAGAAGGACCGGCCAACUACGUGCCAGCAGCCGCGGUAA
rnacentral:rRNA from 1 species